rnacentral:rRNA from 1 species
CGGGUGAGUAACACGUGGGUAAUUUACCUCCUAGUGGGGAAUAACCCUGGGAAACCGGGGCUAAUACCGCAUACGUCCGAGAGGAGAAAGCCGAAAGGCGCAGGGAGAGAAGCCCGCGGCCGAUUAGCUAGUUGGUAGGGUAAUGGCCUACCAAGGCGACGAUCGGUAGCCGGCCUGAGAGGGCACACGGCCACACUGGCACUGAAACACGGGCCAGACUCCUACGGGAGGCAGCAGUGGGGAAUCUUGCACAAUGGGGGAAACCCUGAUGCAGCGACGCCGCGUGAACGAUGAAGCCCUUCGGGGUGUAAAGUUCUUUCGACGGGGACGAUAAUGACGGUACCCGGAGAAGAAGCUGCGGCUAACUACGUGCCAGCAGCCGCGGUAAUACGUAGGCAGCAAGCGUUGUUCGGAAUUACUGGGCGUAAAGAGUGCGUAGGCGGUUGGCUAAGUUUGGUGUGAAAUCUCCCGGCUCAACUGGGAGGGUGCGCCGAAAACUGGUCGGCUAGAGUGUGGGAGAGGUAAGUGGAAUUCCUGGUGUAGCGGUGAAAUGCGUAG